UGCUAUUACAAUGAAGACACAGGAGCACCUCUCUUUGCUGCAUUCUUUGAAGACCAAGCUGAGGUGAAGAGGGAACAUGGGAAGCAAUUCCUAAGAUAUUUAAGAAGACGUGAGUGUAAAGUCUGCCUUCCGGUGAUUAAGAGGCCUACUAUAGAUAACUGGGCAACUGGCGUAAAGGCUCUAGAGUCUGCUCUGGAGAUGGAGAAAGAGUUAACCAAGCUUCUGCAAGACCUGAAGAAUAAUGCUUAUGAGAAGAGUGAGAAGGAUCUUGUACGCUUCCUGGGAAAGUACCUGGAUAAACAGAAGAGGAACACAAGCUAUCUGGAACACCAGAUUGUAUAUCAUAAGCAUGAAGAAAAGAAGGCCCAGCAGAAAGAAGACCCGCUUAAAAAGCCAGCUGAAGUGUCAGGUAAAGACUAACAUCUGAAGGCAACAAAGCAAGUUUUCCCACUGCAGUAGAUCCCCAAAUCAGCUACUUAAGAAUCUUAAUCUUCUCCAUUGGGCAGAAGACUGCUUUUCUUCAUCGUUGUGUAUACAAAUAAAUCUGUUUUUGCAUUAUAACUGUGUGUAAAGAGAUUG